rnacentral:rRNA from 1 species
GAACUUUCCAGAGAUGGAUUGGUGCCUUCGGGAACUCUGACACAGGUGCUGCAUGGCUGUCGUCAGCUCGUGUCGUGAGAUGUUGGGUUAAGUCCCGUAACGAGCGCAACCCUUGUCCUUAGUUACCAGCACGUUAUGGUGGGCACUCUAAGGAGACUGCCGGUGACAAACCGGAGGAAGGUGGGGAUGACGUCAAAUCAUCAUGCCCCUUAUGACCUGGGCUACACACGUGCUACAAUGGUUGGUACAACGAGUUGCGAGUCGGUGACGGCGAGCUAAUCUCUUAAAGCCAAUCUCAGUUCGGAUUGUAGGCUGCAACUCGCCUACAUGAAGUCGGAAUCGCUAGUAAUCGCGGAUCAGCACGCCGCGGUCGAAUACGUUCCCGGGCCUU